UAGGGAAUCUUCGGCAAUGGACGAAAGUCUGACCGAGCAACGCCGCGUGAGUGAAGAAGGUUUUCGGAUCGUAAAACUCUGUUGUUAGAGAAGAACAAGGACGUUAGUAACUGAACGUCCCCUGACGGUAUCUAACCAGAAAGCCACGGCUAACUACGUGCCAGCAGCCGCGGUAAUACGUAGGUGGCAAGCGUUGUCCGGAUUUAUUGGGCGUAAAGCGAGCGCAGGCGGUUUCUUAAGUCUGAUUUGAAAGCCCCCGGCUCAACCGGGGAGGGUCAUUGGAAACUGGGAGACUUGAGUGCAGAAGAGGAGAGUGGAAUUCCAUGUGUAGCGGUGAAAUGCGUAGAUAUAUGGAGGAACACCAGUGGCGAAGGCGGCUCUCUGGUCUGUAACUGACGCUGAGGCUCGAAAGCGUGGGGAGCAAACAGG
rnacentral:rRNA from 1 species